AUACGUAGGGUGCGAGCGUUAAUCGUAAUUACUGGGCGUAAAGCGUGCGCAGGCGGUUGUGUAAGACAGGCGUGAAAUCCCCGGGCUCAACCUGGGAAUGGCGCUUGUGACUGCACGGCUGGAGUGCGGCAGAGGGGGAUGGAAUUCCGCGUGUAGCAGUGAAAUGCGUAGAUAUGCGGAGGAACACCGAUGGCGAAGGCAGACCCCUGGGCCUGCACUGACGCUCAUGCACGAAAGCGUGGGGAGCAAACAGGAUUAGAUACCCUGGUAGUCCACGCCCUAAACGAUGUCGACUGGUUGUUGGGUCUUAGGUGACUCAGUAACGAAGCUAACGCGUGAAGUCGACCGCCUGGGGAGUACGGCCGCAAGGUUGAA
rnacentral:rRNA from 1 species